GACGCGCGGGCCACGUGAGUUGCCCUUUAAGUCGGUGGCUAUGUCCGGACAUUGUCGCAGGACACUGCCACUUGGGAUCUCCGGCACUAGCCCGGAGAACUGGUAGAGGAUGAGCUAGCCAUCUUCUGGUCCCUCUGGCCGCGUAAGAAUCUGGGAACUGGAGAGACGCCGUUCGUCGGCGUCGGGAAGUGAGAGUGCCUUACAGCUUCGCCACCAAUGAGGAGAUUUGGUAGUCGACUAAGAGUCGGCGGCUCAGCGGUGGCAACCAUUAGUUGCACAGGGCGCGGCGGGAAGUGAGUGUGCCUGCAGCCACGGUACUAUAAUCGAGGGCUGUAGCUCAGAUGCAUUGCGAGAGAGACUACGUAGGAUAGGUGUUUGUAAUAAACAUUUUGAAAAGAGGUUCAUUACUGCCACAUUGCGUUUACGUUAUGGUGCUUAUCCAACUUUAUUUUCGGAAAACAAAAUAACAAGUGGCUUGCCUGCAGAAGUUUCCGAAAACAUUGGUUUGGUGCAGAUUUGUCCGGUCUUACCUAACACUUCAUGCAGAUGGAGAGCAGACCACGAGGAAAGCGUGUCCAAGAAUCGGAAAGUGUACUUACCAGGGAAAUUGGACCCUCGACUCCCAAACGAAACAAAAAUAUUAGAAAACGUUUGUUUCACAGUAUGAAUACCCUGACACCUAAAUGUAGAAAAAUUUAUAAAAUGUAUCGACUGUCCAAGAAGCAGUUAGAUUUUAAUAAAAGAGCAAAAAGG